rnacentral:lncRNA from 1 species
AUUCUAUUCUUCUAUUUCAUUGCUUGUAAAAAGUUACAAAAUGUUUGUUAAGCUUUUAUAGCCAAAUCGAGUACAUUUUUUAUUUUUUAUUUUCUCUGUUGUUGUUUCUAUUUCUUUCUCUUUUGUUUUUGCAAGCACUUUCGCGUGAUGGUGGCGAAGAGCUCUUCGGUCAACCAUGGUGGGGAGUCGUGUUUUUUUUCCAUUUUGGUGAAAGGAGGGCAAACUUCGGGUGGCGCGCUUGCUGAUGUGGUAAAGACAGCUGCUGGAGGGAGUUUAGGGUUCUAAGGUUUUUUUUUUGUUUAAGUUUUGGGCUAUUGGGUUGUUAGGUAUUUGGGCUUUAGGGUUUUGUUUUUUUUCCAUAUCCGCUAUAUCCACUUCGCUACAACUUUACGAGGGUAGGAUUUAGUGUUAUGGUUUCAUAUUGCUCUAUUGUAACUUCAAGGAGAUAAGAUUUGUUAUUGUAGCUUCAAUCUGACCCACUGCAACUUCAGAGGUGUAGGAUUUGUAGCUUCAAACUGCUCCAUUGCAAC